rnacentral:rRNA from 1 species
UACGGAGGGGGCUAGCGUUGCUCGGAAUCACUGGGCGUAAAGGGUGCGUAGGCGGGUCUUUAAGUCAGGGGUGAAAUCCUGGAGCUCAACUCCAGAACUGCCUUUGAUACUGAAGAUCUUGAGUUCGGGAGAGGUGAGUGGAACUGCGAGUGUAGAGGUGAAAUUCGUAGAUAUUCGCAAGAACACCAGUGGCGAAGGCGGCUCACUGGCCCGGUACUGACGCUGAGGCGCGAAAGCGUGGGGAGCAAACAGG